rnacentral:rRNA from 1 species
AUUCUUUAGAAUCACGCCACUCAUGAGGACCAAUCAAAGCUAGACAUAAAACCAAGGAGUAUCACAUUCCUAGCUCCGUCAUGUAAUGCAACACCGAUCGCCAGCAGUGGAUGACUUUCAUCAAAGCCGACGCAUCCCCAAAUAUCGAUCCAGGCACGUACGCCACCGACACGAAGAUGCAGCCGAGGCAAGCAACGCCCGAAGCCAGAGUCGGGAGUUCCAAGAGAAGGGCUCAUGGAAACUAGCCAGCAGCAGAGAGAGAUCAGUUCCGUUUGAGACAAGCAGACGUAAAGUUAAGUCGGGGAAUUCAACCAAUCUUAUGACAUAAAGAAAUUAAGUACUAAAAAUAAAAUCUUUUUUAAAAACUAAAUUUCGAGUUGCAGAUAUUUAACUAUAUAUUUAAACUCUGGUACACUACACAGUUUGGGGGCAUUAGUAUUACGACGCGAGAGGUGAAAUUCUUGGACCGUCGUAAGACUAACUUAUGCGAAAGCAUUUGCCAAAGAUGUUUUCAUUAAUCAAUAACGAAAGUUAGGGGUUCGAAGGCGAUCAGAUACCGCCCUAGUUCUAACCAUAAACGAUGCCAGCUAGCAAUUGGGUGUAGCUACUUUUAUGGCUCUCUCAGUCGCUUCCCGGGAAACAAAAGCUUUUGGGCUCCGGGGGAAGUAUGGUUGCAAAGCUGAAACUUAAAGGAACUGACGGAAGGGCACUGCCAGGAGUGGAGCCUGCGGCUCAAUUUGACUCAACACGGGAAAACUUACCAGGUCCGAACAUAAGUGUGUAAGACAGAUUGAUAGCUCUUUCUCGAACCUAUGGGUGGUGGUGCAUGGCCGUUCUUAGUUCGUGGAGUGAUUUGUCUGGUUAAUUCCGAUAACGAACGAGACUCAAAUAUAUUAAAUAGAAAUCUUCAGGAUUAUGGAUUAUAUAGCCUUCAUUCAUGGUGGCAGUAAAAUGUUUAUUGUGUUUGAAUGUGUUUAUAUAAGUGGAGCCGUACCUGUUGGUUUGUCCCAUUAUAAGGACACUAGCUUCUUAAAUGGACAAAUUGCGUCUAGCAAUAAUGAGAUUGAGCAAUAACAGGUCUGUGAUGCCCUUAGAUGUCCUGGACUGCACGCGCGCUACAAUGAAAGUAUCUACGUGUAUUUCCUAGACCGAGAGGUCCGGGUAAACCUCUGAACCACUUUCAUGCUUGGGAUUGUGAACUGAAACUUGGAAUUCCAGUAAGUGUGAGUCAUUAACUCGCAUUGAUUACGUCCCUGCCCUUUGUACACACCGCCCGUCGCUACUACCGAUUGAAUUAUUUAGUGAGGUAUCCGGACGUGAUCACUGUGACGCCUUGCGUGUUACGGUUGUUUCGUAAAAGUUGACCGAACUUGAGUAUUUAGAGCAAGUAAAAGUCGUAACAAGGUUUCCGUAGGUGAACCAGCGAAAG